rnacentral:rRNA from 1 species
CACGAACCGGGCAGACGUUAUUCGGAAUUACUGGGCUUAAAGGGUGCGUAGGCUGCGUUAUAAGUCGGGUGUGAAAUCCCUCAGCUCAACUGAGGAACUGCGCCCGAUACUGUAGUGCUUGAGGAGGAUAGAGGUGAGCGGAACUAGCAGUGGAGCGGUGAAAUGCGUUGAUAUUGCUGGGAACACCCGUGGCGAAAGCGGCUCACUGGGUCCUUUCUGACGCUGAGGCACGAAAGCUAGGGGAGCGAACGGG